rnacentral:rRNA from 1 species
UGAACGCUGGCGGUGUGCUUAACACAUGCAAGUCGAACGAGAACGGUACUAGCUUGCUAGUAUGUCAGCUAAGUGGCGGACGGGUGAGUAAUGUAUAGUUAAUCUGCCCUUUAGAGGGGGAUAACAGUUGGAAACGACUGCUAAUACCCCAUACUCCUUUUAUCUUAAUGAUAAUUGGGAAAUGUUUUUUCGCUAAAGGAUGAGACUAUAUGGUAUCAGGUAGUUGGUGGGGUAAGAGCCUACCAAGCCAAUGACGCCUAGCUGGUCUGAGAGGAUGAUCAGCCACACUGGAACUGAGACACGGUCCAGACUCCUACGGGAGGCAGCAGUGGGGAAUAUUGCACAAUGGAGGAAACUCUGAUGCAGCAACGCCGCGUGGAGGAUGACACAUUUCGGUGCGUAAACUCCUUUUAUAUGGGAAGAUAAUGACGGUACCAUAUGAAUAAGCACCGGCUAACUCC